GAAUAAGUGAAAUGACAUGUACUGGUGAAAGCAAAGAAGUUGUUAAGGUCAUUAGUAUGGUUAUUAAAAAUUGUUAGAGUUGUUUUACAAUUCACUAAUGAAAGGAAGAUGCAUGGUAGUUGUAGCACAGAAUAUGGGAAGAAAUAGAAGCAUGCAUUAUUCUUCUGUAUACACCAGUUGUAUAAAUGAUGAAAGAAUAUCUAUAUGAAGGUGUCUUAGACAAUAGUUUAAUGAAGACGUGUUUCUCUUUUUGAAUUCUAUUGAUUCCCUCUAUUAUUUGUUCUUACUAUUCUUGUGUUUUAGUGGUCAGAAAAGCACAUAGCAAUUGGCUUGUAAGGGGGGACUUGUUAAGCUCUCAUUAAGCUUAUCCCUUAUCAAUGUCGGAUCAUUAUAAUACCCUCCACACUUAGAGAGCCAACAUCCUUAUUGGUCACAACCAUGUUGGUUAUAGGUAGCACCCUACACUUUGAACCACCUACCUUAGAGAAUGGGCCUAGGCCACCACUCCAAGUGUAGGGUCUCACAAGAUGGGGUUGGCUUUGAUAGCAAUUAAUAUGAACUAUUGAGAACUACAAGUUGCUAUGGUUAAACCACAUGAGAAAUAGGCCACUUAGGUUGAACUCACCCUUGAAAAUUGAAUUGCAAAUAGAGACUGUCUAAGGACUUAUUAUGCUUUCACCAAGCUGAUGUCCUAGCAAUGUGGGAUCGCAACACCAACAUAAGCAAAAAUAAGCUCAACUUAACCUCAUUCCAAUAUACAAGCCGAGAUGCAACUCAUCAUUUAUAGGCAUGCAUAAACUUAUAACAAGGGAGCUUUGCUCAACCUCAAAACCAUACAUAUUCAAUAACAAAAUAACAUUAUCAGGGGAGUCCAACUUAACCAUAGAUGCAUAAAUAUAUCAUAUUGGGGAAUCCAGUUCAUCCUUAUUCAUACAUAUAUCAUCAUCUCUUAGGAAAUCUCAUUGCUAACCAUAACCAUAUAAAUAUAUGUUACAUUACCCAAUAACACCAACUAAGGUCAUUAUGAAGUUCUAGAAAGUAAAGACAAUAACUAUAAUAUCCAUAAAGUACAGGACUGCUAAUUGACAAAGUUGUGAAUAGGAUGAGAAUUUGGUUAAACAAAUCGAAUGAAAUUUUCAACUAACCAAAUUUUUAAUCGACUCUAAAAUAUUAACUGAACCAAACCAAAUUUGAGGAAAAAAAUC
rnacentral:misc_RNA from 1 species